rnacentral:lncRNA from 1 species
CUUUAUUUAAUAGAAUGGUAGUCUGUAAAUGACAAGACUCCAUGGAUCUUUACAAAGUUAAAAAUGGUAAUUUACAUGGAAAAGGGUUACAUUGAAUACAAUUGACCGCUAAUCCUUCUACCAACUCUUGAUAUCCACUGUGCUUUUGGCGAUUGCUGGAGAUAGUGAAGCAAAGUCUGACAAUAUGCUCAAGAUAAAUCUUCAAAACCGAAGAUCAGCAGGAUGCAGUUACUUGCCAAAAU